GACGUAGGGGGCCAGCGUUGCUCGGAAUUACUGGGCGUAAAGGGUUCGUAGGUGGUUUGUUAAGUCUGCUGUGAAAUCCCCGGGCUCAACCUGGGAAUGGCGAUGGAUACUGGCAAGCUAGAGUACGGUAGAGGAUGGUGGAAUUCCCGGUGUAGCGGUGAAAUGCGUAGAGAUCGGGAGGAACACCCGUGGCGAAGGCGGCCAUCUGGACCAGUACUGACGCUGAGGCACGAAAGCGUGGGGAGCAAACAGG
rnacentral:rRNA from 1 species